rfam:Loxodonta africana unplaced genomic scaffold scaffold_27, whole genome shotgun sequence.
GAAUCCUCUGAGAAAUGCCCUGCUGAGCUUGACUCACAUCUGGCACAGUGGUAAGUAUACAUGUGAGAGACCUCCAGUGCUACCACCCCCUCACACAGUGAGAAGUCAGAGUUGGGUCCAGUGCCAACAACAGGCAGGGAGUAUGGGGCAGUACACUUGUCAAAAGAGUAUAUGUAAGCUGAGCUCAAGGAUGGAAAACUCCAGUGGAGCAGAAGGGAAACUGUUCACUUAUCUGAAUUUUCAAUAUAAAUACAGACCCUAAAAGUGGGACCUUCCUGUCCUUCUGACCUUUUGAGUUUUAAAUAAGAUGUCAGAAAAGUUACCAUACUGAUAACCAGCUUUUGGCGGCUAAGCAAUCAUAGAGAUCUUGCUUUUCAGCCCUUCAAUGUCAGCGCCUUCUAUCCUUAUGAAGCAGAAUUCACUAAUCAAUGGAUUGUUUUCUCACUAAUAGAGAACAUGAGCUGGUUCUGGGCCUUCUGAGACAGGUUAGUUUUACUUUACUGAUGAUAGUUUGUUUCCUAGUAUUUCAACUCAGUAAGAAAGAAACCACAGAUUCAGACAUUCGAUGUGUGAGCCUGGCUGAGGAGCUACGGAUUCGAAGUUUCAGUGGGGUUCUGACUGAACACUUCUAAGAAUCCCGCCAAGGGCAGAAGCAUGGUGGUAAGCUUCAGUUGGCUUAGGACAGCUGCUCCCUGUUGCGUUCUCUGGCUGAACUAUCUAAGUAGGCCUCAUCUUCAUUAUUCUUUAUCAUUAAAAAAAAAAAUUCCAUUAAUUUCAUUCAUAGCAUCUGAGUUGUAAUUAUUUUUAUUGU